UACGUAGGUGGCAAGCGUUGUCCGGAUUUACUGGGCGUAAAGAGCGCGCAGGCGGUCGUUCAAGUCGCGUGUGAAAGCCCCCGGCUCAACUGGGGAGGGUCACGCGAUACUGAUCGACUCGAAGGCAGGAGAGGGUAGUGGAAUUCCCGGUGUAGUGGUGAAAUGCGUAGAGAUCCGGAGGAACACCGAAGGCGAAGGCAGUGUCCUGGCGCGUAACUGACGCUGAGGUGCGAAAGCCAGGGGAGCGAACGGG
rnacentral:rRNA from 1 species